rnacentral:lncRNA from 1 species
UUAAAAAGAAACAAAAGUACAGGCCACCAGAUUCUUUCCUAGUCCAGAGACUUUGGAGUAGAGGCAAAAAAUGGGAUGAUCUUAAUCACGUGACUGUGUGGGGCACGGUGUCUGCUUGGCUCCCCUAAGAGUGAAGAAACAAUAGAGUUCCUUAUGCAGACUGUUUCCAACAUGAAGCUCCUCAAACGGUGUGUUAAAUUUU